rnacentral:lncRNA from 1 species
AUGCGAUUUGAAAUCAUCCAUUUGCAACUUGCAAAGCACCACUACAUUCACCUUAAACCUGCUUUCUGUCCCAGCCAAUGGUGGCAGGGGCCGGCUAGCCUGUCCCCCCGGAGCAUUAACCCUUGUCGCGAGCUGCAGAGAGAGAGGAGCUGAGCUUUGGCCCCGAGGAGCUGUGUGCAUGGAUCUGGCACAGCUUUGCUCCUUUCACUCCUGGACCUUUGUUUUGGUGGCGAGCGGGGAGAGCAGGGAGCGCUGUGCUCGCGUUUCCCUCCGGCUUACGCACACACACACACACACACACACACAUACACACACACACACACACACACACAAAUCCCCUUUCCAACUUUCUGCCUUUUGCGCUUCCCUCCCAGUUUUUCACUUCUCAGACCUACUGGCAGCAUUUGCCGAGAUCUAGAUCCCCGCCGUGGCUGAUAAAUGAACAGAACAUAUUGAUUAAAGGAAAUAUGGCUUCUGAAAAUAAGAUCACCUGGAGGAUUUUGCAGCUCUUCACACUAUACAGCAAUGGGCAGUGUAAAAGCAGCACUUUCUUUAAAUCUUUAAUACUUUCCUUUAAAAAACAAAAACAAAAAACACGGCAUUUGGAGGUACAUGUAAAGGAAGAGAUGACUGCCAUGACCUGAGACCUGAAUGUUGCUUAGAUUUGUACAAAUUGAUGGAUUUAAUUCUACUUGGACUCUUGUUAAGAUAUAGUAACACACAGUGGGUUAGAUUUUGAUUUUUUUUUUUUUCCUUCCAAGUUAACACCAGUGUAAAUAGGAAACAUGCACUGCAAGUGAACAAAAUUGGAGGGGGUGGGGGGGGUGUUUCUAUAGAAUCCAAAUGUGGAUAUAAGCAGCCACAGAUCCAUUAUCUGAAGUGGUUAUGUCAUCUUACACCAGCAGAAAACUGAGCCCACUAUAUUUGAUUCCUAAAUCUCACCUUAUAUCAGAUGUUUAAAGGUUCAGAUGGAUAAGAUAUGUCUCUGUACAGUGUGCUUUAAAUUAAAAGCUAGUGAAAAACACAUCUCUUGAUUUCUGGAUGACAGUCUUGGAAAAUGUUUCAACUGGUAGCUGCCCUUGUCCUGUUUUACUCCACCCUCAUCAAGGAAACCAGUAUCCAGCAAUGUAGGAGCUGAUAUUCUCAACAAAAACAAUAACCUCUCUUCUGUUCAUCUUCCUUGCUCUGUUUUGGUUACUGAGAGGUGGCCUUGAAAGGGCAGCAUGUUUAAGGCAGAAAUAUUUCUUGAGGCUAUGGGGAGGAUGUUCUCUUGUUUGAAGGAAACCAAGGCUUCCAACUGAUUUUAAUUUUAUUUUUAAUGUUCAUGGGAACCAGUCUUACAUGCCUGGCUGAAUUCAGACUUUGGAUUUUUGGCAGGUUUUUAUUUGAGCCCAGCUUGGCUGUUUUUCAAAAUGUCCAGAUUGCUCACAUUAAAUCUGAAUAAGCACUACCCACUAGUUUAAUCAGAGUCAUCUGGUACACCUCUAAUUAGUGUUAGUUAAAGUUGAAGUUCAUGAUAACAAAAUGUGUUAAAACAUAACACACAAAACUUAGUAAAAUCCUGAACAGAAAUAGGUAGGAGGCAAAAUCUUGUGAAAUUAUACCCCCCAAAAAUUAGAAUAUACAAGUUAUGAUGACAAUAACACAAUGGUGAAGAAAAAAAGUAAGACCAAGUUUCUGACAAAUGUCAUGAAAGCUAGUCUUUAUCUGUUUUAUCCAUUAAAGCAUGCGCACAUAUUGUAUAUAGGUGUGGAUUUGAAUCGCGAAUGAGCUUUAAUUGCUGGUCCUCAUGACCUAACAACUGGUUGUAGUUGUACACUGUGCAUGAAUUGUAAAAACUUGUACACAUCUGUGUGUAUUUCAGAAAAUUAUCAAAUAAACAGGUGAUGUUUUUGUUGCAUCUUCAUAUGAAGUAUUUUCUUGUCUUAACAUGUUUGUGAUAAAUUAUAGGCAAACACAGUAUUAUCAUCUUUCUUUGAAAUCAAUGUAGGUUUGCCUGAGUCAGGAACAGUUAGUGCCUUACUGUGAAUUGUGAAACAAUAAAGAUUGACAGUUGUUAAAAUUGCAGAGUUAUUGGCUGCAAGAGAUCAAAAACCUGUAAAGAUCGAAACUGUGUGUGUUACAAUAGGUGCCUAUAAGGUGCUUGUUUACCUUUAAUUCUUCCCUGAAUUAUUGCCUUAGAAGAGAAUGCUUUAUUAUGUUGCAGCAUAGGCCAAUUAAAAUGGCAAAUCCCACAAUUGGAUCUCUAUAUUAACAUAUUCCUCAAAUUAAGACUUGGGGUUUUGAUUUUUCAGGUGUCAUUUCUAAAUCCUUGCAAAGUGGUGAAACACACUUGUACGUGUUACAAAGAAGCUAUGCUUUUUACAUAUAUUAUGUAAUAGUAGCGCAACAAAGCAUUUAAAUGUUUACUUGGAUUUGCUUCUUACCUGAAAUUUCUUUUUUUCUCAG